rnacentral:misc_RNA from 1 species
UAUUACUUGGAUUUUAAAUUCAGUAGAGAAAGACAUAGCUCUGAGCUUGAGACCUUGUAAUACUGCUAGUGCAAUUUGGAUCCAUUUACAAGUUAUAUUCUCAGCCAAAUUAUACUAGACUAUUUGAAAUAGAAUAUGAAAUUACUAAACUCAGUCAAGAUGAUAGGGACGUAUGGACAUUUUACUCUGAACUCUUAGAAUUAUGGAUUGAACUUGAUAUGGUUUCUGAGUCUUGUUGACAAAUCAGCUUAUACAGUUUAAAGAAAGAAAGAGACAGAAGUAGGGUGCUGCAAUUUCUUAUGAA